UUUCGUACGUAGCAGAGCAGCUCCCUCGCUGCGAUCUAUUGAAAGUCAGCCCUCGACACAGAAUGAUUAGAGGUCUUGGGGCCGAAACGAUCUCAACCUAUUCUCAAACUUUAAAUGGGUAAGAAGCCCGGCUCGCUGGCGUGGAGCCGGGCGUGGAAUGCGAGUGCCUAGUGGGCCACUUUUGGUAAGCAGAACUGGCGCUGCGGGAUGAACCGAACGCCGGGUUAAGGCGCCCGAUGCCGACGCUCAUCAGACCCCAGAAAAGGUGUUGGUUGAUAUAGACAGCAGGACGGUGGCCAUGGAAGUCGGAAUCCGCUAAGGAGUGUGUAACAACUCACCUGCCAAAUCAACUAGCCCUGAAAAUGGAUGGCGCUGGAGCGUGGGGCCCAUACCCGGCCGUCGCCGGCAGUCGGGAAGGACUCGUGCGGACGGGAGCAGGGGGCGGCCGUGCGUGUGUGGUGCGUGUCUGGGGGGGGACGGGGUGUCGGGCGGGCGGGGGGGCGGUCCUCAGGCCGCCUUCUCCCGCAGAUGCUACGCGCGACUAGUAGGAGGGCCGCUGCGGUGAGCGUUGAAGCCUAGGGCACGGGCGUGGGUGGAGCCGCCACAGGUG
rnacentral:ncRNA from 1 species